AUUGAACGCUGGCGGCAGGCCUAACACAUGCAAGUCGAGCGGAUGAGUGGAGCUUGCUCCAUGAUUCAGCGGCGGACGGGUGAGUAAUGCCUCGGAAUCUGCCUGGUAGUUGGGGACAACGUUUCGAAAGGAACGCUAAUACAGCAUACGUCCUACGGGAGAAGGCGGGGGAUCUUAGGACUUCACGCUCUCAGAUGAGCCUAGGUCGGAUUAGCUAGUUGGUGAGUUAAAGGCUCACCAAGGCGACGAUCCGUAACUGGUCUGAGAGGAUGAUCAGUCACACUGGAACUGAGACACGGUCCAGACUCCUACGGGAGGCAGCAGUGGGGAAUAUUGGACAAUGGGCGAAAGCCUGAUCCAGCCAUGCCGCGUGUGUGAAGAAGGUCUUCGGAUUGUAAAGCACUUUAAGUUGGGAGGAAGGGCAGUAAGUUAAUACCUUGCUGUUUUGACGUUACCAACAGAAUAAGCACCGGCUAACUUCGUGCCAGCCGCCGCCGUAAAAC
rnacentral:rRNA from 1 species